AUUGAACGCUGGCGGCAUGCCUUACACAUGCAAGUCGAACGGUAACAGGUCUUCGGAUGCUGACGAGUGUCGAACGGGUGAGUAAUACAUCGGAACGUGCCUAGUAGUGGGGGAUAACUACUCGAAAGAGUGGCUAAUACCGCAUGAGAUCUACGGAUGAAAGCAGGGGAUCGCAAGACCUUGUGCUACUAUAGCGGGCGAUGUCAGAGUAGGUAGUUGGUGGGAUAAAAGCUUACUAAGCCGACGAUCUGUAGCUGGUCUGAGAGGACGAUCAGCCACACUGGGACGGAGAAACGGCCCAGACUCCUACGGGAGGCAGCAGUGGGGAAUUUUGGACAAUGGGCGCAAGCCUGAUCCAGCAAUGCCGCGUGCAGGAUGAAGGCCUUCGGGUUGUAAACUGCUUUUGUACGGAACGAAAAGCCCCGGGUUAAUACCCUGGGGUCAUGACGGUACCGUAAGAAUAAGCACCGGCUAACUACGUGCCAGCCGCCGCCGUAA
rnacentral:rRNA from 1 species